rfam:Ixodes scapularis strain Wikel colony gcontig_1108379321174, whole genome shotgun sequence.
CCCUGGUUAGCUCAGGUGGUAGAGCGCUCCACCUGUAAUGGAGAGGUCCCGGGUUCGAUACCCGGACCAGGCU